AUGCAGCUGACGAGUCACAAAUUGGACGAAACACGCGUGCUGAAU
rnacentral:hammerhead_ribozyme from 1 species